rnacentral:rRNA from 1 species
GAGUUUGAUCCUGGCUCAGGAUGAACGCUGGCGGCGUGCCUAACACAUGCAAGUCGAGCGAGAAGCUUAUGACGGACGCUUCGGUUGAAGUCACGAGUGGAAAGCGGCGGACGGGUGAGUAACGCGUAGGCAACCUGCCCUUUGCAGAGGGAUAGCCUCGGGAAACCGGGAUUAAAACCUCAUAAUACCGCAGUGAGACAUCUCACGGCGGUCAAAGAUUUAUCGGCAAAGGAUGGGCCUGCGUCUGAUUAGUUAGUUGGUGGGGUAACGGCCUACCAAGGCGACGAUCAGUAGCCGACCUGAGAGGGUGAUCGGCCACAUUGGAACUGAGACACGGUCCAAACUCCUACGGGAGGCAGCAGUGGGGAAUAUUGCACAAUGGGGGAAACCCUGAUGCAGCGACGCCGCGUGAAGGAAGAAGUAUUUCGGUAUGUAAACUUCUAUCAGCAGGGGAGAAGAUGACGGUACCUGAGUAAGAAGCACCGGCUAAAUACGUGCCAGCCGCCGCGGUAAUUC